rnacentral:rRNA from 1 species
CCCUUAGAUGUUCUGGGCCGCACACGCGCUACACUGAAGGAGGCAGCGUGUACUCCUGGAUCGAAAGAUUUGGGUAACCCGCGAAUCUCCUUCGUGCUAGGGAUUGAGGUUUGCAAUUAUCCUUCAUGAACGAGGAAUUCCCAGUAAGUGCAAGUCAUAAGCUUGCGCUGACUACGUCCCUGCCCUUUGUACACACCGCCCGUCGCUCCUACCGAUUGAAUGAUCCGAUGAAUACGAUGGAUUGAGAGUACGAAUGGGUUCGCUCAUUUCUGCUGCUCGAGAAGUCGAGUAAAUCUUAUCAUUUAGAGGAAGGAGAAGUCGUAACA